GUGCUUCCGAAGUACACCUGUUAAAAUUGGAACGAUAUAAAGAAGAUUAAUGGCUCCCGUGCAAGAGGUGACAUGCAAAAUCGUGAAGUGUUCCACAUUUUU
rnacentral:snRNA from 1 species